GGGGAAUAUUGGACAAUGGGGGAAACCCUGAUCCAGCAACGCCGCGUGGAGGAUGAAGGUCUUCGGAUUGUAAACUCCUGUUAGGGGGGACGAAGGGAUGUCGGUGAAUAGCCGGCAAACUUGACGGUACCCCCAGAGGAAGCCCCGGCUAACUCUGUGCCAGCAGCCGCGGUAAUACAGAGGGGGCAAGCGUUAUUCGGAAUUAUUGGGCGUAAAGGGCGCGUAGGCGGCCUUGUAAGUCUUGGGUGAAAUCCCUCAGCUCAACUGAGGAACUGCCUCGGAAACUGCAAGGCUUGAGGCCGGGAGAGGGUAGUGGAAUUCCCAGUGUAGCGGUGAAAUGCGUAGAUAUUGGGAGGAACACCGGUGGCGAAGGCGGCUACCUGGACCGGUUCUGACGCUGAUGCGCGAAAGCGUGGGUAGCAAAC
rnacentral:rRNA from 1 species